GACGUAAUUGCAUUAGAUUGUUUAUGCCGAGAUGGAACUCAUAUGUGGCCUCCUUAUGCAAUGGUAUCAACCUCUUUGGGGCUCAACCUACAGAGAAGGGUAUGGAUGAAUUAAAUCAAAGUAUAACAGUGCACAAAGAUGACAGAGGAGAAAGUUUUGUUCACUUAACUUCAUUUUAUGGUAUAGAACUGAUCAAUCUGAGUUGAAGAAGUCUUCAAAUGACCUUAUUUCAUGGCAUUUGUGAGAGUUUUUGAGCGCUUUCAAUGAAAUUUGUCCAAACUCGGAUCCAUUUUGAUCUAUGUCUAUAUAUUGGAGGUGUUUGAACUAUCUUCUAUCCUCUUCUCACCGGUACCUUCAUCAAAGAGGCCGAUUUCUCCGACCAUGGAGCAACUAGGAGUCAACGAAGGUUCAUUUUAUUGGGAAUGGUCCAGAUCUUUGUGACCUUUCCUUUUUUGUUUUUUUUUUCUUUUGAUUUAUUGGUUUCCUAUUUCUUUUUUCAGGUUAGGCUACUUUUGGGAUUUUUCCUUGUAAAUAUUGAAUCUCUUUUGUUUCUAAUAAAAUUAUAUAUAAAAUAAUUCUAUAAAUAUAAUUUAAUUUUAAAUAAUUAAACAAACUUCAAUAAUUUAAUACUUUACUUAGCAAACUUACUUUGAAAUUUGAAUUUUGAACUUUCAAAUAUAUACAUUGAAAUCUUAAAUUUGAAAGUUGAAAUUUCAAGUUUCAAAUUUAGUUUGAACUUUUAAAUUUGAAAUUUGAAAUUUUCAAAACUUACGCAUUCUUACUUAGUCUCCGGUAAAUUAAAUUUGAGUGAGUGUGACCAUUUUUUCUUUAGGAAUAAGAUCGUUCCAAGAUUUUGAAAUCAUCUUUGUGAAUUCCCAAAGAUUCCUUGGAUAAAGAAAUUUGAGGACGACUUUUUUUCAGCAUAGAAAAUUUGUAGUCAUUCCAUCUUGGUUUUGAGAGAUUAAGGUCUCUCUCCUUCCUCCUUCUCCGCUUGCUUCUCUAUCUUGAAUAGUGGUGAGGUGGUGGAUUGUAAAGUAUAAUUGCAUUGCAAAAUGGGGCAUGUUCUUUUGGAUGGUAGAUUACUCCAUUAAGAACUUCAGAUCCCACUUUGACAGACCCCAAAUAACCAGAGACAAAUUUUCAACAAAAUGACAAUUUAUGACAAAUUUGACUCUAGUUGUUUGAGGUCUAUCAAAGUGGAAUCUGACGUUCUCAAUGGAGUAAUAUACCAUCCAAAAGAACAAACCCAUCUUGUAACGCAAUUGUACUUGACAAUCCACCACCUCACCACUAUUCAGGACAGAGGGGCAAGAGGAGGAGGAGGAAGGAGAGAGACCUUAAUCUCCCUAAACCUAGAUGGAAUGACUACAACUUCUUCUAUUCUGAAAAAGAGUCAUCCUCAAGUCUCUUUAUCCAAGGAAACGUUGGGAAUUCACAAAGAUGAUUGCAAAAUCUUGGAACGAUCUUCCCCGUGAAGAAAAGAUGGUAAACACACUCAAAUUCAAUUAUAGUUGAGUGACUACCUGAGAUAUUAUCUCUAAUAUCAUAUAACUGAGCCUUUGUUUAUGUUUUAGUCGUUACCAAUUUAUGACCAUUAUGUAGUCAUCAUACUACAGUAUAUUGUCAUUAUUCUUCCUCUUGAUUGUAUUCAGCAAAUGUUAGAGUAUUUUAUCUAUCCCAUUUGAUGAAUUCUCUCUCCUAUAAAUCAACACAAGUUCUUCUCUUUGGUAGAGAUCAAUUCAAAAUAUUCCUACCAUAUUAUAGUGUGUUGGGUUUUCUUUCUUGAUGGAUCUUUGUUAGUUUUUGUGCUCUCAGUCUUAUACUAGAAGAGCUUAUUAAAUUCUAGAGAUACACCUAUAUCAAAUGAAAUAUUCUUAAGGAUAGUGUCGUUGACACGCCUCAAUCUAUGAAAAAUUCUUACAAUUUUUAUAACCGAAUACUUAUCAUAAGAUUUCCGACACGAUGAGAAGAAAAGACGUUUUUUGGGAUACCUAAGAAGGGGGCAUCAAGGAGAGUGACAAUGUAUGUAUGUUCAACCAGUCUUGCCUCCGCUUCUCAUCGUAAAGAAUCAUUAACUAGUUGUGAUCAGAGGAUUAGGCAUGAUCAAGACAAAGGAGGCAAAUGGGCGGAUCAGGUCGGAUAUGGGUGGAUCAAAACGGAUUAAAUGAAAAUGGAUAAAACAUAUCGUAUAUGCUUAUAUUAUCCGUGGUUUCAAGAAUAUUCAAGUGAACACAAGCUAAAAACUAAAAUAAGCUUAGGGUCGCAACAAUAGCAUAUCCAAUAUGGUCCACAAGCUUGGACUCCUAAAAGACAAUAAGUCAUGAAGAAUGACAAGCCAAAAAAUGGGUAUUGAUAAUCUGGAUAUUCAUAUUAUCCAUUUUUUAGUAAAUAUUAUACAUAUUUGAUCUAUUUGCACGUAAUACAGGUAUUAAGUUUCUUCAUUCCAUUCCUACUAAUAAGCAACAGUCUUAAAGUCGACCUUUGGAAACUUGUGAAACUCACUUCCUUAUUGUUCUGUUAUGUCAUCUAUCAUUCGAUUCAUCGGAUCUAUCUGAUCAUGUCAUACUUUCAAGUUUUAUUUUUUGAAUGAACAAGAAAUUGAGUUUUCCAAUAUUACUUAUUAUUUACCUUCCAAAAGAAAAAUUCUUCCAAAAAUUCAAUCUUUAUAAUGAAUUCAGUUGGAAAAAAAAGAAGAAGGAGAAGAUCACCUUUAUAAUGUACUUAUGGACAUAUGAUUAUUAAGUGAUGGAAUACCUCUAAGCAUACGUUUAUAGAAGCUAAGUGUAUUUUUUUUUAUCUUCCUUCUUUAAACCAUCAAAUCUGUCAACACAUCAAGAUACUUAUGUUGUGCAAUAACCUAGCGACAUACGACAUUACAAAAUAUACACAUAAAGAAAAACAAAGAUACCAAAAUCUAUAAAUAAUGUCAUAUUUUUAGUGAAAUUCAAAAGUGUUACCAUUUGAUUAGCACGCUACUAAUUGCAAAUACAAUUCCCUUCUUCCUCUUACCAGAAAAUUCAUUGGAGAAAAUUGCACCUCAAAAGAAAGAGUUUUUGCCUAAUGUAAGGAAAAAUAAGUGAAUGAAUCUCUUACUCAUUAUGUUGUAGUUUGAAAGUGUAAUUAAGAAAGUGUACAACUGUAUUUAUGAUAGGAAAAGUUCCUUGAACAUAAACCAAGUCAUUAAAAUCAUGGCAUCUAUAUGGAUUAAUUGAUUUUAAAAUUUGAAAAAAUUUGAUAAUAUUUAUAAGUAUAUUAAAAUAAUAAUUUUCUUAUUGGAAGGAGGUCGAAAACUUCUAGUUUCACUCUAGUACCCCUGCUUCAGUUGAAAAACACAGACCCAUCGAUUAAAAAGAAACUAGAUUUGAAUCAAGAAAAUAAGGAAUUAGAGGAACACCAACAUAGAGCUAACCAACCGGCACCCUAACAACCAUCUAUAGACUCCUAGGGAUACACAACAAUCCCAUCCACCAAACUAAACAUCUAGACAGGAAAAAGGAAUGGACAGAUGGACCUUUUAAUCUAGGAUUACAAAUAUGAAAAUUAGUUAAUAAGAGAAGGAGAUAGAUCUUACUUCUACAAGCUGAGAAACAACAACGCACACCAAAGAGGGCCAUGAGUGUUGAUCAUCCAAAGAAGAACAUGAACCUGACUAGUAUUGUGAAACCUCAUUUCCAUCAACCUAUUCACUAGAGAGAGGAAGUUGAGAAGAGAAA
rnacentral:lncRNA from 1 species